AUGAGCAGCAUCGACAACGGUGGCAACAAUGUCGGUGCGACCGGUGGUACGCCGACUACACCGCCGAGGCCGCACUGGAGGAGAAGGGACCCUACCGCCACCGUCGUCUACGUCGUGCCACCUUCCCAGUUCCGCAGCGUCGUGCAACAACUCACCGGCGCCGCGUCGUCCAACACGGCAUCGUCCGACGCUCAGCGUUACAUUGUUGCGCCCUGCGUUGUCCACGCCAACGCGGGCCUUGCGGCGGCGGGGAGUCGUGCCGAAGGUGGUGGCGGCGAGGAGGCGAAUCGUGCUACUGGCAGUAACAGGACGACGGCAACGACGAUGAGACAGAUGUUGGAGAAGUGCAUGGCUUGGGCUUCCGACGACCAUGACGAGAACUAG
rnacentral:rRNA from 1 species